rnacentral:rRNA from 1 species
UAGAGGAAGUAAAAGUCGUAACAAGGUUUCCGUAGGUGAACCUGCGGAAGGAUCAUUAACGAGUUUGAAAUCGAGAGCCUGUUGCUGGUGCGGAAACGCACAUCGUGCACGGCUCCCGUGCUCAAUCCAUUUCAACCCCCUUGUGCACCUUAUCGAAGUCAGUAGUCUUUCUCUUUUUGUUUGCCGGUUGUGUGCGGGAACCUCUUUCUGUUCACUUGGCCGGCGAGGAGAAAUAGAGGGUCGAAAGCUUUGACUUUUCUGUUAAACACUUUGUAUGUCUUGUGGAACGUAUUAGCUCCUUUGUAGGGGCGAAAUAAAUACAACUUUCAACAACGGAUCUCUUGGCUCUCGCAUCGAUGAAGAACGCAGCGAAAUGCGAUAAGUAAUGUGAAUUGCAGAAUUCAGUGAAUCAUCGAAUCUUUGAACGCACCUUGCGCCCCUUGGUAUUCCGAGGGGCAUGCCUGUUUGAGUGUCAUGUUAAUCUCAAACCCCUUGUCUUUUUUGUUGACUUGGUCGGUUUGGACUUGGAGGUGUUGCUGGCGUGCGUCGGCUCCUCUUAAUUGCAUUAGCUGGACUUUGGUUCGCAUUUGACGGUGUAAUAGUAAAGUGUUCGCCGGGCGUGCUUGCCUAACGGGUCUGCUUCUAAUCGUCUUCGGACAACUCUGUUCAUUUUGACCUUUGACCUCAAAUCAGGUAGGACUACCCGCUGAACUUAAGCAUAUCAAUAAGCGGAGGAAAAGAAACUAACAAGGAUUCCCCUAGUAACUGCGAGUGAAGCGGGAAGAGCUCAAAUUUAAAAUCUGGCGGCUUUCGGUCGUCCGAGUUGUAAUCUGGAGAGGCAUUUUCCGCGCUGGACCGUG